CUGAGAAUGUUUGAAGAAUAAACAAAUAAACAUAAUUUUGCUUUGAUUUUACACGGUAUCCGUGGAGAAUGAUGGGUAUACGACUAUACGGUGACUAUGAAGGCAGAUCAAUCAGAUUUGAUAUGAAUGGAAUGGAUAUACUAAACAUAGCAAUUAUCUAAAUUUGUGUCUUUUUUUGGUAUACAUAUUUAUUAGUCGCUUGAAACUAAUUUUCCAUAUUGGAUUGCUGAAUUUAUUAGCAACAAAAUUGGAAAUGUUUCUACACAACACAACGCUCAACGAAUUCCCAUAUUCAGCAACAGGUGUUCCUGCCCCACAGCCGAAGGCUGAAUGGAAACCAAACAAACUGCUGGAGAGUCAAUGUCAAAACUGUUGUCAAGGCCACAACGCCCCUGUGAGUGGGGGAGAACACAAAAAACGGCAAAACGGAAGAUGAGACUAGAAGUUGCAAUGCCAGAAAGUUUCUAUGUUUGGAAAACAAUAAGGGAAGCAAAAAGUUUCGAGCUACAUGGAUUAAGCCCGAAAUUGAUAUUCGUUCGAUUUCAAUUCACCCUGCUCAAUAAAACGGUACUCUUUCAGAAGGUAAUAUGAUUUGGAGAAAAUGUUUGCAGUACCAAAAAGAAAGCUAUUUAGCUACCGUAGAAGGUUCUGCAAGGGUAUCCAAGCUUCGGAGCACAAAUUAUGGGUCUUCAUAUUUUUCGUGGAUUGUUUGCUACGUUCCAAGGUCCUUUGCCUUUGCAUUUACAGCUGAUUUGCGCUCGCUCUCUCUCUCUCUGGGUUUGUACGCGCUCUCUCGCGUCACAGUUGGAUGAAGUCAGGCAAG
rnacentral:sRNA from 1 species